UCCCGGCUGAGGGGAGGAGCCGAGCGAGCGGCGGGUGUCCCUGAGAGGCCACCUUUCGACCUUCGAGGGCCAGGAGGAUACGGGGAGGUGGCCGGAGGGAGUUCCCGAACACAGGUCUUCCUGUUCCCGCCGAGCAGGUGUUGGCGGUGCCAGGCCCGGCCUGGCGGGCCCGGGCUGGCAGCCAAAUACCCAGCGUCUGUGCUCGGGACGGGAGUGUUCGUCCAGGACGUGCAGCUCCGGAGCCUGCGCGGGCGACCUUGACCACCUUUGUCGGCUGUUUCCCCCUGAGGGAAGUAUACCUGUCCUGCCAGCCUUGGUCUCUGGCAGGGAAGGUCCUUCCAACAGAGAGGGGUGCGCACGAAUUCCUUUUUGCCGCUCUUCUAUUAAUAGUUUGAGAUUUUCCUCCCCGAUUCCUUGCAGAGAGGGCCUGGUCCUCAAGGACCUCGGGAUCUGGGCGCGACGUCCCUUCCCAGCUUCCUCCCGCGCGCACCGGACCAGAUCUUGCUGUCGUCAGCUGGCUGGUACCCAAAGUUCCUCUUCGUCAGGCUGUUCCUUCCCCGUUAGAGUCCUUCCUCCCCAGGAGCCCUCUCCAUCUGCUGACCUUCAAGACCCAGAGCGAAUGCCACUUCAUCCAUGAAGCCUUCCCUUAACCCUUAUCUGGCCAAAA
rnacentral:lncRNA from 1 species